ACAAACGCGAACAAAGAAAACGAACAAUCUUAACAACGUGUACACCUUAAAACAUUUAUGAAGAAUUAGUAAAUUAGUAAAAGUAUUAUAUUUAUUGUCAUAUUUAAUGUUACGAAUUUGUGGAAAACAAAUAAACCAGUUCAAGAAAAAUAGUAUAGUAUUUUCUUAUGUGCGAACGUACAUAAAGUGGCGACCGUGACAGGACUUACUGCAAUCUACGGAUUCGAGCACAACCUACAAUAUAAACCUAAUUACGGACGAAGAAAGCGAAGAAGGAGAAUCUACAGGAAUCUGCGUGGGUUUUGCCAGCAAAAGAGUGAGCCUGUUCCAUUUUAUUCCUUCCCUAAUCGCACUUUGUCACUUCAUACCUAAUAGCAAAAUCUAUGCCUAAUUCUUCCUAAUACCUACCUACUUGCUAUACUUACAGGUUGCCUAAAGCCUAUUUUGCAUCUAAUGCGCCUAUUUUGCGGCUAGUAAGUUCAGCAAACGAUAUUUAAGGUGCCUAAAUAUCAAACACACUUUGUAAAUGAACCAACUAUUCAAUUGUAUAACCUAAAACGUACCUACCUACUACUUGCUUGCUUACAAGUUGCCUAAAUCCUAUUAUUGCAUUUAAUGCGCCUAUUUUGCGGCUUGAAAGUUAAACAAACUAAAGUUAAGGUGCCAACUAUCAAAUACAAUUUGUAAACUAUUUAAUUCUUGUACCUAAAACGUAGUUACUUACCCAAGUUUGAUUCUUGUAAACAACUAUCCUAUUAUUUUAAUUCGCUUGCUUGCCCACAUUAUUCGUGCACAAUAUAAUUCCAUUUUCACUUCUUUCAAUCGAAACAUAACUAUUAUAGCUGAAUUCAUCCCAAUUGCAUUAUUUACAACUUCAUACGUUCCCUAUAGCUUCGUCUUGAAUACCUACUACUAUUAGUCGAUAUACAAAGCUGUGCAACAUUCUAUUCCAGCGACAGCUGCACAGCGCGAUCGGAGUACAAGGUUGUCAUCCAUCCCGUGUCCGCGCGUGCACUGCUGCAGGCCAGCAACUGCCGGUGCGCUCCACCCCGCCGCCUCCCGCGCAGCCACUCCGGCUAACGAUUCCAGCGAAUAGAGCAAAUGCGACAAAAUUUCUGGAAACGCUGGAGCUUGGAGUACAUCUCUGAAUUGCAAACAAGAGCAAAAUGGCGCGGAAAGUCUAUCGAGCUUCAGGUGGACGACUUGGUUGUGCUCAAAGAGGAAAACCUACCACCCCUCUACUGGCGCUUGGGGCGCAUAGAGCGACUUUAUCCUGGAGACGACGGGGUGCCACGAGUUGCAGACGUCAGAACUUCAAAGGGAAUCGUGCGCCGCGCAUUAAACCGAAUUUGCGUGUUGCGCCACAAUUUUUCUUCUGAGAAGCUUUAGCUUCUGACGCAGCUUCCCAGGGCCGGGUGUAUGUUCGCGCGCUAAUUCAUAUUCGCGAACUGAUGUACAAAGAGGACACAAGAGGGCGCUGUAACUACCAACACGUCAGAUAGAAUACACGCGAACAAACGCGAACAAAGAAAACGAACAAUCUUAACAACGUGUACACCUUAAAACAUUUAUGAAGAAUUAGUAAAUUAGUAAAAGUAUUAUAUUUAUUGUCAUAUUUAAUGUUACGAAUUUGUGGAAAACAAAUAAACCAGUUCAAGAAAAAUA